rnacentral:rRNA from 1 species
GUCCUGUUGAUUAUAAUUUAAGGUCGGACCUGCCCACUGAAGGAUUAAAUGGCCGCGGUAUAUUGACCGUGCAAAGGUAGCAUAAUCACUAGUUUUUUAAUUGAAAGCUUGUAUGAAAGGUUUGAUGAAAAAAGUUCUGUCUCUGUGAAAUUUUAUUAGAAUUUUAUUUUUAAGUUAAAAAGCUUAAAUUUAAAUAGAAGACGAGAAGACCCUGUAGAGUUUUAUUUUUAAGUAAGAUAUGUAUAUUUUUAGAAUUAACAGUUAUAAUUUUAUUUAUUUAUUUUAUUGGGGUGAUAGAAAAAUUUAAUAAACUUUUUUUGUACAAGAACAUUUAUAUAUGAAUAUAUGAUCCUAAAAUUGAGAUUAAAAGAUUAAAUUACCUUAGGGAUAACAGCGUAAUUUUUUUUAGAGUUCUUAUCGAAAGAAAAGAUUGCGACCUCGAUGUUGGAUUAAAAUUAAUUUUUGGUGUAGAAGCUAAUAUAUUAGGUCUGUUCGACCUUUAAAAUUUUACAUGAUCUGAGUUUAGACCGGCGUGAG